GACGAUGGGAGCGAGCGUUAUCCAUAAUGACUGGGCGUAAAGGGUUCGUAGCCAGUUUUAUUUUAUUAUAAAAGAAAUCUCAAAUAAAACUUUGAAAGGUUUUAUAAAAUAAUAAAACUAGAGAAAAAAAAGAGGAAAGUAGAAUGUUGCAAGAAGGGAUGGUAUCUAUAGAUAUGCAAAAGAAUAUCAAUGUGCAAAGGCGGCUUUCUGGUUUUUACUGACGGUGGGGAACUAAAGUGUGGGGAGCAAACAGG
rnacentral:rRNA from 1 species